rnacentral:rRNA from 1 species
AUGAACGCUGGCGGCGUGCCUAAUACAUGCAAGUCGAGCGAACAGACGAGGAGCUUGCUCCUCUGACGUUAGCGGCGGACGGGUGAGUAACACGUGGAUAACCUACCUAUAAGACUGGGAUAACUUCGGGAAACCGGAGCUAAUUCCGGAUAAUAUAUUGAACCGCAUGGUUCCAUAGUGAAAGACGGUUUUGCUGUCACUUAUAGAUGGAUCCGCGCCGCAUUAGCUAGUUGGUAAGGUAACGGCUUACCAAGGCAACGAUGCGUAGCCGACCUGAGAGGGUGAUCGGCCACACUGGAACUGAGACACGGUCCAGACUCCUACGGGAGGCAGCAGUAGGGAAUCUUCCGCAAUGGGCGAAAGCCUGACGGAGCAACGCCGCGUGAGUGAUGAAGGUCUUCGGAUCGUAAAACUCUGUUAUUAGGGAAGAACAAAUGUGUAAGUAACUAUGCACGUCUUGACGGUACCUAAUCAGAAAGCCACGGCUAACUACGUG